UAAAUAAAUUAAUUAAUAAACUCCUACCCCCAACAUCUUCAAAAAAAAAAUCUAUCAUGUCAAUAGUCUUACAAUCAAAAUCUAUGGCAUCUCAGACCCAGAUAACUGCUUCUACUUGUUCUUCUGGCCUGCAUUCCCUUGCUUUUCUAAUCUGUCCUGCACACUAUUGCCUGAUUAAUCUCCUUAAAAGACUGCAUUCAUUGUGUCCAGUGGUUAAGACUCCACGCUUCCGCUGCAGGGGCACGGGUUCAUCCCUGGUGGAGAACUAAGAUCCCGCAUGACGUGCGACGCAGCAAAAACAAAAACAAGAACAAACAACUUCAGUGGUUCCCAUUCCCUGAUAGGUAAAGUAUGCAAGUAUGCCUAGGGGAUCAAGCUGGGCAUCGAAGGGACACCACAAUCACACCCUGAUGUCCUCCUGUCCUUACCAACAUUAUUCCCCUACCCAGAUCUUUCUGCCGUGAACACAUCCUCCUCUGCCUCUGUUUGUGUCAUUCCCCACAAUUAGAAGGCUAUUCCUCCUGCUACGUACACCCUACUCAGGCUUCAAGUCCUAUGUCUGUUGUGAAACGUUAUCUGAACACCCCAUCCCGAUGUAAUCUCUUCCUCCUCUAAAUUCCUGUAGGACUUGUCUUGACUACUUAUUUCACACUUAUUAUUAAUUAUCUGGUAUCUUUGAAUGUCUGUAUAUGUUUAUGAGUGUAAAGCAAUGAAUCCGAUGUUUUAUAAUGAAUGGGAAAAAAUCAAUCACAGUAGUUCACAUUCUAUAUGUCUUAUUUCUCUCAUCAGAUCAUAAAUUCCUUGCAGUUAGCUCUAUUAGGUAUACUUGUCUCCCUUGAAUUGUGGUUUAUUUAAGAAAUAUAGGGCUUCCCUGGUGGCACAGUGGUGAGAGUCCGCCUGCCGAUGUAGGGGACACGGGUUCGUGCCCCAGUCCGGGAGGAUCCCACAUGCCGCGGAGCGGCUGGGCCCGUGAGCCAUGGCCGCUGAGCCUGUGCGUCCGGAGCCUGUGCACCGCAACGGGAGAGGCCACGACAGUGAGAGGCCCGAGUACCACAAAAAAAAAAAAAAAAAAGAAAUAUAGUCUACUAAGCACUGAGUUCAAUGGGGGGAUCACACCUCUCAUCAGAGAGGCACCGCUACCCCUAUUCUUUUCUCUAUGGCUGGUCCAAAUCACUUAUAUUCAACUUCUCCCGUCUGCCCUCCUCCAGCACCCAAGCUUAUGAUCGUAGUAGCACAAGACUUGCUCAGGCUUUAGAGUGAAUCAAGCGUCAAGGAGCGGGUGGGUUGAAGAACAAGGAGAAACUUCGCGGUGUUCUAAGACAGAUGUGUGGAGGCAGAAGGUCACUGCGAUGCAGCGAAGACUGAAAACUGCUUGAUGACAAGAGACCACGCCUGUCUUGUUCUUACUGUGUUCACAGCACCUAGCCAGUGCCUAGAGGAUAGUAAGUACUCAAUAAACUCAUUCUAGAAUGGUUGGAUGAAUGAAUAAAUGACCUACAAUAGCAUAAUGAUAGUAUAAAAUGUUUUAUAGGCGUUAAAAUUUUAUUUUGGGGCUUCCCACCACUGGUGGUGCAGUGGUUAAGAAUCCUCCUGCCAAUGCAGGCGACACGGGUUCGAGCCCUGGUCCGGGAAAAUCCCACAUGCCACGGAGCAACUAAGACCGUGAACCACAACUACUGAGCCUGUGCUCUAGAGCCUGUGAGCCACAACUACGGAGACCACGUGCCCCAACUACUGAAGCCCACGCACCUAGAGCCAGUGCUCUGCAACAAGACAAGCCACCAUAAUGAGAAGCCCACGCGCCACAACGAAGAGUAGCCCCCGCUCGCCACAGCUAGAGAAAGCCCGCGUGCAGCAACGAAGACCCAAGGCAGCCAAAAAUUUAAAAAAUUAAUAAUUUUUAAAAAAAGAA